GACAGAGGAUGCAAGCGUUAUCCGGAAUGAUUGGGCGUAAAGCGUCUGUGAGGUGGCUUUUUAAGUCCGCCGUCAAAUCCCAGGGCUCAACCCUGGACAGGCGGUGGAAACUACCAAGCUGGAGUACGGUAGGGGCAGAGGGAAUUUCCGGUUGGAGCGGUGAAAUGCGUAGAGAUCGGAAAGAACACCAACGGCGAAAGCACCCUGCUGGCCGACACUGACACUGAGAGACGAAAGCUAGGGGAGCGAAUGGG
rnacentral:rRNA from 1 species